rnacentral:rRNA from 1 species
GUGUCAGCAGCCGCGGUAAUACGUAGGAGGCGAGCGUUAUCCGGAUUUACUGGGCGUAAAGCGCGCGCAGGCGGCUUCGUAAGUCGGAUGUGAAAGCCCCUGGCUCAACUGGGGGAGGCCAUUCGAUACUGCGAGGCUUGAGGUCGGGAGAGGGGUGUGGAAUUCCCGGUGUAGUGGUGGAAUGCGUAGAUAUCGGGAGGAACACCAGUGGCGAAGGCGGCACCCUGGCCCGCACCUGACGCUCAGGCGCGAAAGCGUGGGGAGCGAACGGGAUUAGAUACCCCGGUAGUCCACGCCGUAAACGAUGGAUGCUAGAUGUGGGCGGGGAGACCCGUCCGUGUCGCAAGCUAACGCGUUAAGCAUCCCGCCUGGGGAGUACGGCCGCAAGGUUGAAACUUAAAUGAAUUGACGGGG